AUUGAACGCUGGCGGCAGGCCUAACACAUGCAAGUCGAACGAGCGGCGGACGGGUGAGUAAUGUAUGGGAAACUGCCCGAUGGAGGGGGAUAACUACUGGAAACGGUAGCUAAUACCGCAUACUAUCGGAUGUGCCCAGAUGGGAUUAGCUAGUAGGUGGGGUAACGGCUCACCUAGGCGACGAUCCCUAGCUGGUCUGAGAGGAUGACCAGCCACACUGGAACUGAGACACGGCCCAGACUCCUACGGGAGGCAGCAGUGGGGAAGAUUGCACAAUGGGCGCAAGCCUGAUGCAGCCAUGCCGCGUGUAUGAAGAAGGCCUUAGGGUUGUAAAGUACUUUCAGCGAGGAGGCGUUACUCGCAGAAGAAGCACCGGCUAACUCCGUGCCAGCAGCCGCGGUAAUUC
rnacentral:rRNA from 1 species